CUGGCUCAGAUUGAACGCUGGCGGCAGGCCUAACACAUGCAAGUCGAGCGGUAACACAAGAGAGCUUGCUCUCUGGGUGACGAGCGGCGGACGGGUGAGUAAUGUCUGGGAAACUGCCUGAUGGAGGGGGAUAACUACUGGAAACGGUAGCUAAUACCGCAUGACCUCGCAAGAGCAAAGUGGGGGACCUUCGGGCCUCACGCCAUCGGAUGUGCCCAGAUGGGAUUAGCUAGUAGGUGAGGUAAUGGCUCACCUAGGCGACGAUCCCUAGCUGGUCUGAGAGGAUGACCAGCCACACUGGAACUGAGACACGGUCCAGACUCCUACGGGAGGCAGCAGUGGGGAAUAUUGCACAAUGGGCGCAAGCCUGAUGCAGCCAUGCCGCGUGUGUGAAGAAGGCCUUCGGGUUGUAAAGCACUUUCAGCGAGGAGGAAGGCGUUGCAGUUAAUAGCUGUGGCGAUUGACGUUACUCGCAGAAGAAGCACCGGCUAACUCCGUGCCAGCAGCCGCGGUAAUACGGGAGGGUGCAAGCGUUAAUCGGAAUUACUUGGGCGUAAAGCGCACGCAGGCGGUUUGUUAAGUCAGAUGUGAAAUCCCCGAGCUUAACUUGGGAACUGCAUUUGAAACUGGCAAGCUAGAGUCUUGUAGAGGGGGGUAGAAUUCCAGGUGUAGCGGUGAAAUGCGUAGAGAUCUGGAGGAAUACCGGUGGCGAAGGCGGCCCCCUGGACAAAGACUGACGCUCAGGUGCGAAAGCGUGGGGAGCAAACAGGAUUAGAUACCCUGGUAGUCCACGCUGUAAACGAUGUCGAUUUGGAGGUUGUGGGCAUGACCCGUGGCUUCCGGAGCUAACGCGUUAAAUCGACCGCCUGGGGAGUACGGCCGCAAGGUUAAAACUCAAAUGAAUUGACGGGGGCCCGCACAAGCGGUGGAGCAUGUGGUUUAAUUCGAUGCAACGCGAAGAACCUUACCUACUCUUGACAUCCAGAGAAUUUGCUAGAGAUAGCUUAGUGCCUUCGGGAACUCUGAGACAGGUGCUGCAUGGCUGUCGUCAGCUCGUGUUGUGAAAUGUUGGGUUAAGUCCCGCAACGAGCGCAACCCUUAUCCUUUGUUGCCAGCACGUAAUGGUGGGAACUCAAAGGAGACUGCCGGUGAUAAACCGGAGGAAGGUGGGGAUGACGUCAAGUCAUCAUGGCCCUUACGAGUAGGGCUACACACGUGCUACAAUGGCAUAUACAAAGAGAAGCGAACUCGCGAGAGCCAGCGGACCUCACAAAGUAUGUCGUAGUCCGGAUUGGAGUCUGCAACUCGACUCCAUGAAGUCGGAAUCGCUAGUAAUCGUAGAUCAGAAUGCUACGGUGAAUACGUUCCCGGGCCUUGUACACACCGCCCGUCACACCAUGGGAGUGGGUUGCAAAAGAAGUAGGUAGCUUAACCUUCGGGAGGGCGCUUACCACUUUGUGAUUCAUGACUGGGGUGAAGUCGA
rnacentral:rRNA from 1 species